CUCCUGUGUCCUCCUCUUCCUUCCUGUUCCUGUUCUCAGCACUGCCACUGGCUUUUGGCCUCGUGGCAGCUCCAAGACAACCCAUGCUCCCAGCACAGGAGAGCUGCUUGGGCUGGCCCCGGCAGAAGAUCCAAUGUGUUCUGACUAACAUGGAAGCUUUUUCAAGUUCUGACAUUAGCAUACACAUUGUUAGGUAUGUUCUCCCAUGGAUAUGUAAGAAUGAAAUGAAAGUUUGAAUUCAGAGAAAUCGUGUCAGGAUUACAGACUGUUCCAAGCACAAUCUAUUAAAGAAGAGAUUCCUCUCCCUUAAGUUCAAAAUUGAAAGGACAGAAAUGUAGGUAUCUGUGAGCCCAUGUGAUUUUAACCGCAGUUAGUGGGCAGGAGACAUUAAUGAAGUUUUCCCUACCAUGCUUCUGAGACAUCCAGUCUUAUUUUAUGAACUGUAGUUUGAUGGAUGUAUUACUGCACAAAAAAUAAAUUACACAACUGGAACAAAAUAUUUCCUGCAAGAAAUGGGUAAAUAAAACUAAGUGCUUCUCCAGGUCAGUUGUGUGUAGCAGAUAGGCUCUGAUUUAUUUUAUUCUGAUAAGUAAGUGUGUAUCAACAAAAACCAUAGUGCUUAAUAGACCUGUUGGAAACUGGGAUAUCAGCUACCUGGUAUCACAUAGAUGAAAACAGAACAUUCACUUCUAUUUUCUUUUUUCUUUUCUUUUCUUUACUUUUUUUUUAAACUCUUGAGCACUACAGGAUCCAUGCCUGCAUAUACUCUCCCCUUCACAAAACCAACAUCCCACUGGUCCUGGCUGAGCACCAACAUCGAAACUUUUGCUAGUUACAACGUGCUGAAAUGUACAAAUUCAUUUCUUAAGGUAUGUAAUUAGAAGACAAUGUAGGUAUAGAAACUCAACAUUUUUUGGGGGGGCUUUUGAAAUACUUACAGAAGGAAGGGUAUUUUAAUUGGAACAAGUUGGCUUAUAUAUAAACUUAAAAUUGCUUUGUUAUAUCUAGCUUUUUUGCUCAGUAUUUUUUGUAUUUUUCUUAAAGAAGGAGGACUUAAUGACAAGCAAAUGAUACAUGGGCAUGCCCUGUGGAAACUGGGACGUCCAAAUGAAGAUCUUCAGCAAUCGUUUCACUUGACUGAGGAGUCAACUGCACAUUUGCAUUUCAGUUUUCAUGGAAAUAAAAUGGAAGCAUUACUUUCGGAGCAACCUAUGUACAUAACUUUAUACAACUAUAACUCAAGCUCUAGGGGACUAACAGUACAUAAGAAUUUGUCCUUAAAGCAGUAACUGAGUGAAAUCAGUAGAAAUUCUGAGUGUGAGCAGCUGUUGCAGAAGGCAGUGGGAAUUAUGAAGAUACAGCAUCCAUCACCACUCAGACAUAUGGUGGACAGAAUGGUGGCAAAGUACCCAGCUAUGCCAGUUGUAUUCACUAGGAAUGAUGAAGGAAGUCCACAAAAUAAGCAGCCACAAGACCAGAAGAGAAAAGAUUUUGGAAGGAAGAGCAAAGCCCUAGACUGUGAUAGAACAGAGUCAUCUUGCUGCGAGGAAGCACUGGUAUGUUUGUUGUACAAUUAGACAAAAUCAUUUUGCAUCUUCUAAACUCGUGCUGUUACAAAACUAUGCAACUUUCAUAGGGAAAAUGAUAAUCUGUAUUAUUUAUGCUAAAUACAUCAUCAUUUUUUCAUACCAUUUCCUUUUUAUUAAGCUUCUGUUUAAGUAUUAGACUUAGAAGUAUUGGAAAUACCAAAACCAAUUGAAAAUUGGAUUAAAGUGUUGGAUAUGCCUAAUAAAUAAACUUAUAACAAAAAUGAUUCAUCAUUUUCAAAAAAGUGGGUUGAUCUCUGGCUAACAUCUCCCUGCAAAAUAAUUAAAAUGAAAAAAGCACUACUAUUAAAUGCAAAUACUGUUAUUAUCCACAUGACAUCUUUGAUGUGAUAUGAAUGGGGCUUAUGUUCUACUGUGAAAAAGCUCAUGAAGUAUUUUACACCAAGAAAGCCAAAAGGCUGUGAUUUGCAGAAUAACAUUAUGGAGAAGAAACAAGGAUUAACAGUAGUUCCUGGAGAAGGGACACACAUUUCACAGCUUUUUGGGGAUAAAAACCAACUAAACAACAACAACAAAAAAACACCGAACAAACCACACAACAAAACCCCCAUUUUGUUUCAUUCUUAAGUUACUUUUGUUAUCAUAACACACAACAAAUUUGGACCACCUUUAGGUAUCCAGCGCACUUCUGCUGCCUGAGACUACUGGAAAUAAGAAAUGUUAACCAGAAGCAUGAGGAGAAGUAGCCAACUACCAAUAGGAAACGAUGCUCUCUUCGCCAGAAUUAGCAAGCAGCUCCCAUAUCCCCUCUCCUUGUCUUGUUAGGCCCGUUUGUCCAUCCUUGUUCUUUCCUCGGUUGGGAAAUUUCUUGUGCUACUUCAGAAUACUGCAAAAAAGACUGGACUACAACUAUUUCAAAUAGCAGGUAUUUACUUAUCACUGUCUUCACUGCCACCUGAAUGUCACAAAUAGAUAUUUAAAAACAAACAAACAACAAUAACAAAAACCCUGAACAACCAGUCUAGCAGCCCAUUGCUUGCAUGAGCCUUUUAGCCACAAUUUAUUACGUCUCUAUUCACUGAUAGCAUGGUAUGAUUAAAAAUUGAAAG